rnacentral:lncRNA from 1 species
UUGGGUGCCUUAGGUGUUGAUGCUGCAGAUGGAUGUCAUCUGCUGUAGAAGCCCAGACAGAAACUUUCUGUUGGAGAAAUCCGACUAGAGUCCGAUGGCUAGAGAAGUCCAUCUGGAAUUUGUCUGAUGUAGAAGCUUGUCUGAAGACUGUCCGCUGGAGAGGUCCAGUUGCAUGAGGAAUCCGACAGAAGGUCGACCGAUAGCAAAAUUCAAAAGGUGCUAUAGAAGGUUGACCGAUAGAAGAGUCUGAAAGGUGUUGUGGAAGUUCGUCCGCUGGAGGAGUUUGGAGGACACUGUGGAAGGUCGACCGCUGGAGGGGUCCGGAGGGAAUUUGUCCAUUGGAGGGGUCUGGUUAGCCCUGUUGAAGUUCAGUUAGCACUGUUGAAGGUUGAUGGUUGGUGAGGCAUGGAAGACACCGGAGACAGUCGGUCACUAUAGA